rnacentral:rRNA from 1 species
UCCAAUAGCGUAUAUUAAAGCUGUUGCAGUUAAAAAGCUCGCUAGUUGAAUUUCGGGAUCAGUACGCUGGUCGUGCCUUCGGUAUGAACUGGUGUCACUGAUUCCUCCCUUCUGAAGAACCGUCAUGCCAUUCAGUUGGUGUGGCGGGAAAUCAGGACUGUUACUUUGAAAAAAUUAGAGUGUUUAAAGCAGGCUCGCGCUUGAAUACAUUAGCAUGGAAUAAUGAAAUAGGACGUUUGACCCUAUUUUGUUGGUUUCUAGGAUCGACGUAAUGAUUAAUAGGGAUAGUUGGGGGCAUUAGUAUUCAAUUGUCAGAGGUGAAAUUCUUGGAUUUAUUGAAGACUAACUACUGCGAAAGCAUUUGCCAAGGAUGGUUUCAUUAAUCAAGAACGAAAGUUAGGGGAUCGAAGACGAUCAGAUACCGUCGUAGUCUUAACCAUAAACUAUGCCGACUAGGGAUCGGGUGAUGUUAAAUUUUUAAUGACUCAUUCGGCGCCUUACGGG